rnacentral:lncRNA from 1 species
AGACAGAUGAGAGGAUAAGAGAGAGGUAGAAACAGAAACUUACAACAAUCAAGAACCAUAGCAUUAAUUUCUUCAGUCAAAAGCUCAUCUUCUUUUAAAAAAUUAUUUUAAUUAAAAAAUAAAGAAGAACAUUUUUCACCUACGCUCUAUGUCAUUUAUCUCUGCUCAGAGAGAAAGAAACAUUUCUGUACACGAGCUGGUCUUUCAGAGAAUCCCAAACAAACACGACAUUCAGCAACUUCAGACAAAAACGGAUUGGAAAAGAACUGUUGGGGCAUUGGAAUCCAUCUCUCGUUGAGUGAGAGCCGCUGUGCCGAUCCGCUUCAGAGCACUCGCGUUCUCACAGUUAAUUACCUGGGACAUCAAGGCUAAAAAUUCGUUGUUCUAGCAAAAAAAAGAAAACUCCAAAGACCUCAUUAAAAAAAAUUUCUUUUCUGGAAAUAUGCAUCACUAAGUAUUAAACUUAAAACAGGCCUUUUUUGUUUAAGACGGUGAAUAUUCUCAUGGCUUUGUAACAGAUUUAACCUACUUUUUACAAUUAAGAGCUUAUCAACUCCAAAAUAUCCAGCAACACUCCAGCAAUGGCAAGGAACUACAGAAAAACUAUUAAAAAAAUCAAUCCUAAUUAAAGGAGUUUAAUUUAAAUUACAAUUUUUUUUCAUGUAAGGCAUUAUGCUGACAUCUACUGGCCUCAAAUUGAACUAUACAUUUCAAUCACUGUGUUUUUACAUUAUAAACGCUCUUAAGGAAAGCAGAACUCUUGAUAAUAGAGCACAAUGAACACAUUCAAAUAAGGCUCAACUUAAUUUUCUUGUAAACCCCACCAACUUACCCAAAGAAUAAUGGCGGCUUACUAUUGCUUUCCGAGUAUUUGAUGGGGCUUAAAUUUUAAUAAGUAGUUUGAGAGAAGGGGUAUGAUUAGGAGGAGGAAGAAGCUUUUUGUGGUAAGUAAAAAAUUUUGGGUUCCCCAAAAAACUUGCAAAAUUAUGCAGCAUGCUAUUUUAUGAUUUACACUGGAUUUUUAAAAGAUGGACUGAAUUCAAAAUAAAAACCUAAUA